AGGAUAAACGCUGGCGGCGUGCAUGAGACAUGCAAGUCGAACGGACGAUCGAGGCUUGCCUUGAUCGUUAGUGGCGGACGGCUGAGUAACGCGUAGGUGACCUGCCCCGAAGUGGGGAAUAACUGCCCGAAAGGGUGGCUAAUACCGCAUGUGGUGGUGUGUUCGAUCACACCAGUAAAGCCGCAAGGCGCUUCGGGAGGGGCCUGCGUCCGAUUAGCUCGUUGGUGGGGUAACGGCUCACCAAGGCGACGAUCGGUAGGUGGUCUGAGAGGACGAUCACCCAGACUGGGACUGAGACACGGCCCAGACUCCUACGGGAGGCAGCAGUCGGGAAUUUUGCGCAAUGGACGAAAGUCUGACGCAGCAACGCCGCGUGAGGGAUGAAGGCCUUCGGGUUGUAAACCUCUUUUAUCAGGGGAGAUAAUGACGGUACCUGAUGAAUAAGUCACGGCUAACUACGUGCCAGCAGCCGC
rnacentral:rRNA from 1 species